rnacentral:rRNA from 1 species
CACCCGCAGCACAAGUGGUGGUCACUUUUAUUGAGCCUAAAGCGUUCGUAGCCGGUUUUGUAAAUCUUUAGAUAAAGCCUGAAGCUUAACUCCAGAAAGUCUGAAGAGACUGCAAGACUUGAGAUCGGGUGAGGUUAAACGUACUUUCAGGGUAGGGGUAAAAUCCUGUAAUCCCGGAAGGACGACCAGUGGCGAAAGCGUUUAACUAGAACGAAUCUGACGGUAAGGAACGAAGGCUAGGGUAGCAAACCGGAUUAGAUACCCGGGUAGUCCUAGCUGUAAACACUGCCCAUUUGAUGUUGCUUUUCCGUUGAGGGAAGGCAGUGUCGGAGCGAAGGUGUUAAAUGGGCCGCUUGGGAAGUAUGGUCGCAAGACUGAAACUUAAAGGAAUUGGCGGGGGAGCACCGCAACGGGAGGAAUGUGCGGUUUAAUUGGAUUCAACGCCGGAAAACUCACCGGGAACGACCUGUGCAUGAGAGUCAACCUGACGAGUUUACUCGAUAGCAGGAGAGGUGGUGCAUGGCCGUCGUCAGCUCGUACCGUAGGGCGUUCACUUAAGUGUGAUAACGAGCGCGACCCACAUCUUUAAUUGCAAAUGUAUAUGAGAAUAUGCAUGCACUUUAGAGAAACCGCCAGCGCUAAGCUGGAGGAAGGAGUGGUCGACGGCAGGUCAGUACGCCCCGAAUUUCCCGGGCUACACGCGCAUUACAAAGAACGGGACAAUACGUUGCAACCUCGAAAGGGGAAGCUAAUCGCGAAACCCGUCCAUAGUUAGGAUUGAGGGCUGUAACUCGCCCUCAUGAAUCUGGAUUCCGUAGUAAUCGCGGGUCAACAACCCGCGGUGAACAUGCCCCUGCUCCUUGCACACACCGCCCGUCAAACCAUCCGAGUUGGUGUUGGAUGAGGUUUAAUUCGAGAGGGUUAAAUCAAAUCUGAUGUCGGUGAGGAGGGUU